GCGAGCGUUAAUCGGAAUUACUGGGCGUAAAGCGCAUGCAGGUGGUUUGUUAAGUCAGAUGUGAAAGCCCGGGGCGUCAACCUCGGAAUAGCAUUUGAAACUGGCAGACUAGAGUACUGUAGAGGGGGGUAGGAAUUUCAGGUGUAGCGGUGAAAUGCGUAGAGAUCUGAAGGAAUACCGGUGGCGAAGGCGGCCCCCUCGGACAGAUACUGACACUCAGAUGCGAAAGCGUGGGGAGCAAACAGGAUUAGAUACCCCUGGUAG
rnacentral:rRNA from 1 species